rnacentral:rRNA from 1 species
AAACCUGAGAAACCCGAAAGAUCGAAUGGGGAGAUUCAUCGUCAGCGAUUCCGGUACGUGUGCGGCUCGCGAUGUCCGAGACUUCGGUCCCGCGGCACGCGUCCGCAUGUUUUUUAUUGCUGGAAUCGUCGGCGUGCACUUCUCCCCUAGUAGGACGUCGCGACCCGUUGGGUGUCGGUCUACGGCACGGUAGGUAGCCUGUCACGUGUGCCGCUUCACGGCGUUUUACGGGGCAGACCUCCGUUCGCCCGACCGGCUGCUCGGCGGUACUCGCAAGGUAUCUGGCCGCAGACAUACGAACUGCGUCCGGCCCGUCGCAAGCGCGGCAAGUGUUUCCCGGCUGUACGGAUCCAAUGCCGUCACCGGGCCUUGCCAGCUGUUGGUUGACGGUGUCCUAGGACUGGCUAACAGAUACCGGUCGGCGACGCUACUGCUUUGGGUACUUUCAGGACCCGUCUUGAAACACGGACCAAGGAGUCUAACAUGUGCGCGAGUCAUUGGGAUCUAUUAAGCCUAAAGGCGCAAUGAAAGUGAAGAUCGGCCUCGCGCCGAUCGAGGGAGGAUGGGCCGCGUCACGAUGCGGUCCCGCACUCCCGGGGCGUCUCGUUCUCAU